rnacentral:lncRNA from 1 species
NNNNNNNNNNUUUUUGGGGGUCCCGGUGCCGUUUUUGGGGGUCCUAGCCCUGUUUUCGGGGGUCCCGGUGCCAUUUUUGGGGGUCCCGGUGCCGUUUUUGGGGGUCCCAGCCCCGUUUUCGGGGGUCCUGGGCCCGUUUUUGGGGGUCCCGGGCCCAUUUUCAGGGGUGCUGAUUCCAUUUUUGGGGGUCCCAUCCCCGUUUUCAGGGGUCCCGGUUCCAUUUCUGGGGGUCCCGGUGCCGUUUUCGGUGAUCCUGGCAUCAUUUUCGGGGGUCCCAAAGCCAUUUUUGGGGGUCCCAGCCCCGUUUUCGGGGGUGCUGAUUCCAUUUCUGGGGGUCCCAGCCCCAUUUUCGGGGGUCCUGAUUCCGUUUCUGGGGGUCCCAGCCCCGUUUUCAGGGGUCCUGAUGCCAUUUUCGGGGGUCCCAAUGCCGUUUUCGGGGGUCCCGAUGCCGGUUUUGGGGGUCCCGAUGCCGUUUCUGGGGGUCCCAGCCCCGUUUUCGGGGGUCCCGAUGCCGUUUUUGGGGGUCCCAGCCCCGUUUUUGGGGGUCCCGAUGCCGUUUUCGGGGGUCCCGAUGCCGGUUUUGGGGGUCCCAAUGCCGUUUUCAGGGGUGCUGAUUCCGUUUCUGGGGGUCCCAGCCCCGUUUUCGGGGGUCCCGAUGCCGUUUCUGGGGGUCCCGAUGCCGUUUUUGGGGGUCCCGAUGCCGGUUUUGGGGGUCCCAGCCCCAUUUUCGGGGGUCCCAGCCCCGUUUUCGGGGGUCCCGAUGCCGUUUUCGGGGGUCCCGAUGCCGGUUUUGGGGGUCCCAGCCCCGUUUUCGGGGGUCCCGAUGCCGGUUUUGGGGGUCCGGGGCCGGUAGCCGUGGUUGCAGGUGCAGCCGAAGCUGCCCUCGGUGUUGUGGCAGCUCUGGGAGGGGGGGCAGGGCGGGGGCCCCUCCCCCACGCACUCGUUAAAAAAAGGGGGGGGGAGGGGUCACUCCUGGGACCCCCCCACCCCAAAAUUGGGGAUUCCCAAAAAAAUUUGGG